AGCGAACGCUGGCGGCAGGCCUAACACAUGCAAGUCGAACGAACUCUUCGGAGUUAGUGGCGGACGGGUGAGUAACACGUGGGAACGUGCCUUUUGGUUCGGAAUAACUCAGGGAAACUUGUGCUAAUACCGAAUGUGCUCUUCGGGGGAAAGAUUUAUCGCCAUUAGAGCGGCCCGCGUCUGAUUAGCUAGUUGGUGAGGUAACGGCUCACCAAGGCGACGAUCAGUAGCUGGUCUGAGAGGAUGACCAGCCACACUGGGACUGAGACACGGCCCAGACUCCUACGGGAGGCAGCAGUGGGGAAUCUUGCGCAAUGGGGGAAAGCCUGACGCAGCCAUGCCGCGUGAAUGAUGAAGGUCGUAGGAUUGUAAAAUUCUUUCACCGGGGACGAUAAUGACGGUACCCGGAGAAGAAGCCCCGGCUAACUUCGUG
rnacentral:rRNA from 1 species